AGCAGUCGCCACGGGAAUACGAAGGGGGCUAGCGUUGCUCGGAAUUACUGGGCGUAAAGGGCGCGUAGGAGGAUGUUUAAGUCAGAGGUGAAAGCCCAGGGCUCAACCUUGGAACUGCCUUUGAUACUGGACAUCUUGAGUAUGGGAGAGGUGAGUGGAACUCCGAGUGUAGAGGUGAAAUUCGUAGAUAUUCGGAGGAACACCAGUGGCGAAGGCGGCUCACUGGUCCAUUACUGACGCUGAGGUGCGAAGGCGUGGGGAGCAAACAGGAUUAGAUACCCCGGUAGUCCCUGUCUCUUAUAC
rnacentral:rRNA from 1 species